UGCCAUGUCUGCCGACUGUGCUUGGUCCGAUGGGGCGGUUCGCUUUCUCUCUUUGUUUGACCUUCUUCAUGUUGUUUUGACCUCGGUCUAUUGUACAUAUACUUGGUUUCUUCCUUCUAAUAUUGCACGGCAGAGCUCCUACCUUUCUCGGCAAAAAAAAAAAUACUCAUCCUUGUAUAUAGGAUCGAUUACUUAUCUAUCUUUGAAACGGACUGG
rnacentral:lncRNA from 1 species